UACGAAGGGGGCUAGCGUUUUUCGGAAUUACUGGGCGUAAAGGGCGCGUAGGCGGUCUUGUAAGUCAGAUGUGAAAGCCCCGGGCUCAACCCGGGAAUAGCAUUUGAUACUGCGAGGCUUGAGUCCGGGAGAGGAUGGCGGAAUUCCCAGUGUAGAGGUGAAAUUCGUAGAUAUUGGGAAGAACACCGGUGGGGAAGGCGGCCAUCUGGACCGGUACUGACGCUGAGUCGCGAAAGCGUGGGGAGCAAACAGG
rnacentral:rRNA from 1 species